rnacentral:misc_RNA from 1 species
UCCGGUUUAUCACCGGCAGUUUCCUUAGAGUCCCCGACAUUACUCGCUGGCAACUAAGGAUGAGGGUUGCGCUCGUUGCGGGACUUAACCCAACAUCUCACGACACGAGCUGACGACAGCCAUGCAACACCUGUGUUCGGUCCAGCCGAACUGAAGGGAUCCAUCUCUGGACCCCGCGACCGACAUGUCAAGGGUUGGUAAGGUUUUUCGCGUUGCAUCGAAUUAAACCACAUGCUCCACCGCUUGUGCGGGUCCCCGUCAAUUCCUUUGAGUUUUAAUCUUGCGACCGUACUCCCCAGGCGGGGUGCUUAACGCGUUAGCUUCGACGCUGAAACUCAAGGUCCCAACAUCCAGCACCCACCAUUUACGGCGUGGACUAC